rnacentral:rRNA from 1 species
GAUGAACGCUGGCGGCGUGCCUAAUACAUGCCAGUCGAGCGAACAGACGAGGAGCUUGCUCCUCUGACGUUAGCGGCGGACGGGUGAGUAACACGUGGAUAACCUACCUAUAAGACUGGGAUAACUUCGGGAAACCGGAGCUAAUACCGGAUAACAUGUUGAACCGCAUGGUUCAACAGUGAAAGACGGUCUUGCUGUCACUUAUAGAUGGAUCCGCGCCGCAUUAGCUAGUUGGUAAGGUAACGGCUUACCAAGGCAACGAUGCGUAGCCGACCUGAGAGGGUGAUCGGCCACAAUGGAACUGAGACACGGUCCAGACUCCUACGGGAGGCAGCAGUAGGGAAUCUUCCGCAAUGGGCGAAAGCCUGACGGAGCAACGCCGCGUGAGUGAAGAAGGUCUUCGGAUCGUAAAACUCUGUUAUUAGGGAAGAACAAAUGUGUAAGUAACUAUGCACGUCUUGACGGUACCUAAUCAGAAAGCCACGGCUAACUACGUG